rnacentral:lncRNA from 1 species
GAAUUGAUUAAUUUCUACAAACCGAAUGGAGUUUAAUAAUUUUCCUCACGAUUUAUUAACACAUAUUUCAAAAGGUAUUUAUUGUACAAAGUACAAAUAAAAAUACAGCACUUCAAAAAAGAAUACAAUGAAAAAAAAAAUUACCAUUUGCCUGAGGAGUAUAUGUUGUUGCGGGAUCAAAAUCUUUUUUUCCCCCAACUUGUCGAAGCUGGUACUAGAACUAAUCAGUAAAAUUAAAAAAUAAUAAGCUGGCUUUACCAAGCUAAUUACAUAAAUCAGUUAAGCUUUUUUUUUUUUAAAAAAAAAGAAAAUUAUAUAUGCACAAACAUACCUGUGAAUGCCGGCUGCGGAAAAAAAAAGAAAAUUAUAUAUGCACAAAUAAAAAAAAAGAAAAUUAUAUAUGCACAAACAUACCUGUGAAUGCCGGCUGCGGCGGCGGCGACGGUUGCAGCGACAUGAUUGUGUUUGAAAUAUAUUUGCCUUGUCUUAUCUCUCUCUCUCUCUGCGCAUUACAAUAAAAAUUAUCGUAAAUAAUACGCUAGAGAAGGGGGAGGGCGCACAUGAGAUGAG